GGACUACCCGGGUUUCUAAUCCUGUUUGCUCCCCACGCUUUCGUGCAUGAGCGUCAGUGCAGGCCCAGGGGAUUGCCUUCGCCAUCGGUGUUCCUCCGCAUAUCUACGCAUUUCACUGCUACACGCGGAAUUCCAUCCCCCUCUGCCGCACUCCAGCGAUGCAGUCACAAUCGCAAUUCCCAGGUUGAGCCCGGGGAUUUCACGACUGUCUUACAUCACCGCCUGCGCACGCUUUACGCCCAGUAAUUCCGAUUAACGCUUGCACCCUACGUAUUACCGCGGCUGCUGGCAC
rnacentral:misc_RNA from 1 species